ACCCUUCUCUACUUUUCUUUCUCUGUAGCACUUUGUCAAUUGGAACCCUCUCUUCUUGCCUAUUCUUCCCAGGAGCUCCUCUUCGUCUCGUUCACAAACAGGCACGGGACAGCACGCGCACGAAGAGGGGAACGGCCAGCGCGGCCGGGGAGUUCCGGCCGGAGGGGAGGUAGAGCGGCCGCCCGACCUCGCCCUAUAGGUCAGUCCACCUCCGGAUGUCGCCGCGCUGUGGGCGACUGCGGCAGGCGACGGACGCGCAAGGAGGUCGGCACGACAUGGAGGAGCGAGGGCGAGGGUUACUAGCGAGUGAUGGAGGAGGGAGUUCGGCGCGGUCGCGUGAGGCCGGCGCGCUGAUUGCGGAUGGCCACACCCUGGCCCCUGGGCUUGAGCUGCUUCGAUUCUGUCCAGUUUAGUGCUAAUCCAGGUCAGUGCUUCGCUUCCACGGAAAACGGCAAGAACUCCAAGCCCCCCUGAUGGUCAACGCAGGCAGAACAACUAGAUAUUGGGAGGGGGCACCAGAUCUGCUGCUCCUCCCCAGUCCCCAGGCAGGCAUUUGGUCGAAGCGUGGCCAUUCGUGCCUCCGCAGCUCAGUACUGGCUGCUGAGUAAGUGAGCAGAGUAGCAGACCAUCCAUCAUAUGUAGUCCAAUCAGAAAUAAUCUGUUAGAGCUUAGAGGAUUAGUGUCUGCUCAAUACGCCUUGAGAAAGAAUCUAUUCCACUCUCAUUAAUCCAUUUCUGCUAAUAAUUUCCUUCUUUGUUUGUUGUUUUAAGUUAUAAGUUUCUCUUCACUGAUUACAUGCAUAUUCACUGAGCCAUUCGGCUAUAGAUGGAUUCUGAAGAUAAUAUACACGAUCACAUGGAGAUCACGUCUAAAUGAGACCAUGACGUGCUUCUUAAAAAUGAAGAACAAAUCAAGCCGAUAGACCUGCCAAUGUCACUUCUAAACGCGAUCACAAAAAACUUCUCUGAUGGUCUACAAAUUGGCAGUGGCGGGUUCAUGGUGGUUUACAAGGGGCUGCUUAAAAGUGGUGGAACCGUAGUCCGUAGCUGUGAAAAAGCUAUGUACUGAACACAAUUUGUGUGGAUGUUAAUCAACUCCAAAGAGAGGUUAUCUGUCUGAUGAAGGUGCGACACCAAAAUAUAGUACGGUUUCUGGGAUACUGUGUGGAUACACAAGGGAAAAUGGAAGACUGCAAGGGAAAGUUUAUCCUGGCAGAUGUAAGGGAUGUUGCUCUGCUUUGAAUACCUCCCUAAUGGGAGUCUUGAGAAGUAUAUCAAUGAUGCGUCUGGUGGACUGGAGUGGAAUAAGCUAUAAAAUUAUCAAAGGAAUUUGUGAGGGCCUACAAUAUCUUCACGAGAAUAAUAUUGUUCACUUAGAUCUCAACCUUCCCAAUAUACUGCUGAACGAUAACAUGGUCCCAAAAAUUUAUGAUUUUGGUCUCUCAAGGUGGUUCAAAGAAAUACAAGGUGGAACUGUGACGUCAACACUAGUUGGAUCCAUCGUGUGACGAUGAGGCGAUGACAGCGUGGCCGGCAAAAAGAAAGGUUUGACGACCGCACGUCACUGCUACUUCCUACUGACGGUGACGUGUCCGCGGGUGAUCCGUUUUACUCCGAGGAGCAGCAGGACCAGCAGCAAUUCCCCUUCACCGAAGGCAAGU